AAACUGUGUGUAUCCGAGGAGGCUUAAACUGCGGGUUAAAGAGAGAGGUUCUUACCGCUGACGAGGAGUAGCAGCAGCAGCAUCUUCAUCCUCCUUUAAAGACCCGUGAAAUUCCCACGGAGCCGCUCCCACACACUGCUCCUCCUCCAGCUGUGACUCUGACCGCAGAAAUAACACUCACAGCAGUGACUGAAGAACAUCCAGAUUCUGCUGCAUCUGUGGGAGCCUGCAGAGAUCUCACACUGUGAGUGAGGACAUCCAGCCAGCAUGGAGCUCAUCAGAGACGAUACUUGUUACCAAGACAUUGUAAGCUCCAUCUCAGAAGCUUCAUCCACCUCAAACAAAAGGAACAACACUUGGUGAGGACAACAGCGACAGACUGAAGCACAGAGAUAUCGGACUGAAGCUCUGCUUUGUGCUGCUUUCUGAUAACUCCACAUACAGAUGCUGCCUAACAGCCUGAAGGGGAGGACGCUGCUUCCGUCCUUUAUUUACAGGCUGUUCAGUGCUGUGAGCAGAACACUAGAGCCCUCUGCUGGUGGAAGAGUAAGGUUGCAGGUUUAGUUAAAUGUGUUUGAAAGCAGCAGUGGUUUCAAAGAUUAAAGUUUUAUUGCCCCAUGUUCAUUCACUCAUGAGCUGCUACAACAUGAAUGAAAUGGCUAAAUUGCCAGCUCAGCACUUCUAUAGAGUCUUGCCAAUGACCGACUAAUCGUAUUCAGGUGUGCAACAGGGACACAUGGAAAAG
ensembl:lncRNA